rnacentral:rRNA from 1 species
GUGCAGCAGCGCGAAACCUCCGCAAUGCGGGAAACCGUGACGGGGUCACCCCGAGUGCCACCCGAUGAGGGUGGCUUUUCCCCGGUCUAAAAAGCCGGGGGCAAUAAGCGGGGGGCAAGUCUGGUGUCAGCCGCCGCGGUAAUACCAGCCCCGCGAGUGGUCGGGACGCUUAUUGGGCCUAAAGCGUCCGUAGCCGGCUCGGUAAGUCCCUCCUUAAAUCCACGGGCUCAACCCGUGGGCUGGGAGGGAUACUGCCGGGCUAGGGGGCGGGAGAGGCCGAGGGUACUCCCGGGGUAGGGGCGAAAUCCGUUAAUCCCGGGAGGACCACCAGUGGCGAAGGCGCUCGGCUGGAACGCGCCCGACGGUGAGGGACGAAAGCUGGGGGAGCAAAGGGGAUUAGAUACCCGCGUAGU